rnacentral:rRNA from 1 species
AAGGGUAAAAUUGGGCUUUUAUAGGGUAUGAGGUAAUCUAAAUUGAAGCUGAGAAAUUCCCAUUAUAAACUAGGAUUAGGUACCCUAUUAUUUUGGAAGGUUUAUAAAACGCAAAUUAUUAAAAGAUAAAUACUUUAAAAUUAAAGAAUUUGGCGGUGAUUUAAUCUUAUCAGAGGAACUUGUUUUAUAAUCGAUACACCACGCAUUAUCUUACUUGAGUCUGUAUACCGUCAUUAUCAGGUAAUUCUAAAAAGAUAUAAUUUCUUAAUAUUAUUGAUGAUAUAAAUUAGAUCAAGGUGCAGCCGAUAGGCAAGUCAAAAUGAGUUACAAUAAUUCACAUUAUAACGGAUUAGUAAUUAUGAAGGAGGAUUUAAUUGUAUUUAAGUUUAAUAAGCUUAAAGGAAAUAAGCUCUAAAUCAUGUACAUAUCGCCCGUCGCUUCC